UCCCUAAAUCUCCGUAAUCUAUGAAAUGGGUAUAAUAACGGUGCUCAGCCCAUAAGGCAGCCGUGGGGGUUAAAAGGAAAUGAAACGUGUUUCCCGUUACUGAGCACAGUGGAUGGAACGAUCAGCCAAAGCCAGGCUUCACUGCCGGAAGCAGUGACGUCAUCACCGCACUCCGAAGUAGUGAGUCCUUAAAGGCACACACACACAUACACGUCCAGAGAAGAAAAACCCAAGGUGAGGGGAGUGGCUCUGAUGACAAGACGAAGGCACAAGAACUGGGAAAAGGAGGAAGCAGGAAGUUAGAAUUCCAAGAAAUGUGGAUCAGGAGGUCAUAACCCAGGCUGCUCAACACUAAGAAGGUAAAAAUUCUUACUCAAAGGCAGAGCCACGUGGAGCAAUUUUUAGAGGUAAUUCCAUUGACAAAGUACUGCCUUCCCUUGAAUCUGCCUGAUUGCCUUUGCCAAUGGAGCCUAUCUGAAGCUAGUGAUCAUCUCUAGAGAAAAAGAAGUGUCCUGCUAACCUUGCUGGGUGCUGUGAAAAGGUGAAACAGAAGGCUUUAGUUUCCAACAUGCUGAUCGACAAUCAGGUCACCUCAGCACUUUCCUGAGACCACCAAACAACUCAAUGUCACACCAGCUGCCCCCGUGUAGAUUUCUGAGUGUAAAGCUCUUGGGGUCAUUAACAAACUUCAGUACCGAGAACAAUGACAGGCUUUGCCACAUCCUAUUCCAAUCCAGAUGCUGAGUGGUAGUUGAGUGUUCAACUUUCUACCACCUGGGCUCAGUCAAGUUAAAGGACAUUGAGGAGUUCCCCUCGAGGCUCAGUGGUUAAUGAACCUGACUAGGAUCCAUAAGGAUGCAGGUUUGAUCCCUGGCCUUGUUCAGUGGGUUAAGGAUCUGGUGUUGCCGUGAGCUGUGGCUGUGGUGUAGGCUGGCAGCUGUAGCUCCGAUUCGACCCCUAGCCUGGGAACUCCCAUAUGCCACGGGUGUGGCCCCGAAAAAAAAAAAAAAAAAGAGUUAAAGGACAUUGAUAAUUCCCAAUUU
rnacentral:lncRNA from 1 species